rnacentral:rRNA from 1 species
AGUGAACGCUGGCGGCGUGCCUAAUACAUGCAAGUCGAACGGAGAUUAAGUAGCUUGCUAUCUACUCUUAGUGGCGCACGGGUGAGUAAUAUAUGGCUAACUUGCCCAUUACUAAGGGACAACAGUUGGAAACGACUGCUAAUACCUUAUACUCCGUAUCUAUAUAAGUAGAUACGGGCAAGUUUUUCGGUAAUGGAUAGGGCUAUAUCGUAUCAGCUAGUUGGUAAGGUAAUGGCUUAACAAGGCUAUGACGCGUAACUGGUCUGAGAGGAUGAUCAGUCACACAGGAACUGAGACACGGUCCAGACUCCUACGGGAGGCAGCAGUAGGGAAUAUUGCUCAAUGGGGGAAAACCUGAAGCAGCAACGCCGCGUGGAGGAUGACACUUUUCGGAGCGUAAAUUCCUUUUCUUGGGAAAGAAUUAUGACGGUACCCGAGGAAUAAGCACCGGCUAACUCCGUG